UACGUAGGGUGCGAGCGUUAAUCGGAAUUACUGGGCGUAAAGCGUGCGUAGGCGGGCUAUUAAGUCAGUGGUGAAAUCCCGGGGCUCAACCUCGGAACUGCCAUUGAUACUAUUAGCCUUGAAUUAUGUUGAGGUUGGCGGAAUAUAACAUGUAGCGGUGAAAUGCUUAGAUAUGUUAUGGAACACCGAUUGCGAAGGCAGCUGGCUAAACAUAUAUUGACGCUGAUGCACGAAAGUGUGGGUAGCAAACAGG
rnacentral:rRNA from 1 species